rnacentral:rRNA from 1 species
GUCGAGCGAACGGACGAGAAGCUUGCUUCUCUGAUGUUAGCGGCGGACGGGUGAGUAACACGUGGAUAACCUACCUAUAAGACUGGGAUAACUUCGGGAAACCGGAGCUAAUACCGGAUAAUAUUUUGAACCGCAUGGUUCAAAAGUGAAAGACGGUCUUGCUGUCACUUAUAGAUGGAUCCGCGCUGCAUUAGCUAGUUGGUAAGGUAACGGCUUACCAAGGCAACGAUGCAUAGCCGACCUGAGAGGGUGAUCGGCCACACUGGAACUGAGACACGGUCCAGACUCCUACGGGAGGCAGCAGUAGGGAAUCUUCCGCAAUGGGCGAAAGCCUGACGGAGCAACGCCGCGUGAGUGAUGAAGGUCUUCGGAUCGUAAAACUCUGUUAUUAGGGAAGAACAUAUGUGUAAGUAACUGUGCACAUCUUGACGGUACCUAAUCAGAAAGCCACGGCUAACUACGUGCCAGCAGCCGCGGUAAUACGUAGGUGGCAAGCGUUAUCCGGAAUUAUUGGGCGUAAAGCGCGCGUAGGCGGUUUUUUAAGUCUGAUGUGAAAGCCCACGGCUCAACCGUGGAGGGUCAUUGGAAACUGGAAAACUUGAGUGCAGAAGAGGAAAGUGGAAUUCCAUGUGUAGCGGUGAAAUGCGCAGAGAUAUGGAGGAACACCAGUGGCGAAGGCGACUUUCUGGUCUGUAACUGACGCUGAUGUGCGAAAGCGUGGGGAUCAAACAGGAUUAGAUACCCUGGUAGUCCACGCCGUAAACGAUGAGUGCUAAGUGUUAGGGGGUUUCCGCCCCUUAGUGCUGCAGCUAACGCAUUAAGCACUCCGCCUGGGGAGUACGACCGCAAGGUUGAAACUCAAAGGAAUUGACGGGGACCCGCACAAGCGGUGGAGCAUGUGGUUUAAUUCGAAGCAACGCGAAGAACCUUACCAAAUCUUGACAUCCUUUGACAACUCUAGAGAUAGAGCCUUCCCCUUCGGGGGACAAAGUGACAGGUGGUGCAUGGUUGUCGUCAGCUCGUGUCGUGAGAUGUUGGGUUAAGUCCCGCAACGAGCGCAACCCUUAAG